CAACUCGCUGGCAACGUCCUGAAGCCAUGUGCAUGCCUGGCUCACCCUCUGGGAAUACGCGCCUGAAGAGCGACCAACAGCAUCAGCGUUAAGUGGCUCAGGCUGAUCACCAGGCCUGACCUCACGCUGAAGGAAGAGGGUCGAACGCCAAGGCGGCCGGCUGGGAGCGCAGCCGAGGCGCUCGGAGACCAGCAGGCAACGGCGAGAAGGGGAGCUGGAGCGCGCGUCCGCGUCCGAGAGGCACCUGCGCGUGGAAGCGAGUGCUCACGUCUGGAAAGCAGCCCCGAGCGCCUGUCCUGGGCCUACCCGGCCCAGCCUGCCUGGUCUGUAUUAGGGAUCACAGCAAGCGGCAGGAAGCGCUGUAGGACACGUGCGCAUCAGGACUGGGCUUCGAGUAGCGAGUCUUCCUUAACCCGUUAAGUCGGUGACGCCUUGGGGGUCGGAGUCUGUAGCAAACGAUGCAGCCAGGAAUGGGCUAGCUCAGAUAUCACGAAAGAUGCAGCAAGCGCGACGGGGGAAGCGGGCCGGUUCCCGGGGCCGCCUGCAGAGAGGAGCYGGCAGCGCGUGGGAGGCGCAGCACCAGCACCAGGCCGGGCAGCCGCAGCCGAGCGGAGCAACGCCUGUGCAAGCACGAGAUUGCGAAUGCAGCUGUGACUCCCUUCCUAAGGGCGAGCGGGACCAGAGAAGCUGGUCGAGAAGCGCUGGUGAAGGGCGGCUCCUGGGUACCCGGUGCUGCCGCCCAGCCCCUGGCGCGGAGCAGCUGCCGGAGGCUCCUGCACCUCAGGAGCCCUGGCCAAAGGGCAGAUGGAGAAUUGGUGAUAGGAACAAGCCCCACAAAAGUGCUGAAAGUAGUUUGGUCUACCUGACCUUCUGCUUUUUAAAGUAUCAGCGAAGCUUUUCUGGACCAAAAGUAUCUUUAACCUUGUUUGCCGUUAAGGAAGAACCCUUGCUUUGCAGCUUGUUUGGCAUUCAAGGGAGGACAGGCGAGACUCGAUUAGUCUYGCUUAACCUCCAAGCCAAGUUUUGUGUCUGCAUGAUUUAUUUCACUUGUUGGCUGCACAUUUUAAUGCACAGAGCAGUACUGGGUUUUGUUGCUUUUCCAUAUGCAUACUUAAAAACACUGUUGUUAUUCACCUGUUUACAACGCUUAUAAUAAAACCGCAUUUUUYUUCUGCUGUGAAAAAACUCUAGUGCUGUGCUGAAAUGAGCAGAAUAUCUAAGAGGGCAAAGCUGUGUGGUKCAGCUUGCGUAUCUCUUCCUGUGCUCUGCCCAACUUGCCCUGGUGGUUCCUGUUAGCCUUCUCCCUGGUGCUCUUUAAUUCUGGGACUUAUUCUCAUAAGGAAUCCACAUACUAUGAACACACUAAAUGCAAAAAUUAAAGGCAGUACACAAAGAGCUCAGUAACAAGUGCUCUGUUUUCUUGCUGCCCACUUUAUGCAGUGCAAUGAUCAAGGUUUGGCAAGCAUCAGGUACCUCUUUGUAAAGGUAUGUAUUUAGGGAAAAAAAAGCUAUUGCAAAAGUUAUAGUUUUUGGUAGGUUGCUUGUUAUUCAUCCACUAUUUGUCUGUUAUUUCAGACUCCCCAGCACGGUGUGUUCACUGAUACUCUCUGCUUAAAAAAAAUGUAAGGAACAGGUCAUACUGUCACGCUUUAUUCUGUCAGCUGUCUCCACUGAAGUCAUAUUUUGGCUGUAGAGCAUCUCAUUUUGAAUGGUUGUUAUCUUCAUGCAGCAAACUGAAAAUCCAAUGAAAACACUUGCCAGAACAAACUGCACAAAAAGCUGCUGAGGUUGYGUUGUGGUAUAUGAUGCGAUAUAUGAAGCGAAGUUGUUCUUGUGUUCUAGGUGAAAUCAUGGCCAUAUUUUACCUUAUUCAGAAGCAAAUGUAAUGUUUUCUGCACAAGAACCCACGGUAUUUGGUAUAGCCUGGGAAAAGAUCCAUCUCAAAGUCCUUCAGCAGGAAGCUGAGCAACCUCCUCUUCACAGUAUAUCGUACACUCUGGCAGCAAAGUAACAUACGCAUCUGGAGAAAAUCAGCAGAUCAGUUUUAUAAAGGUUCUUAAGUUAAAAUGUUGGAAAAAUUAGAUCUCGGGAACGGAACAAGGACCCAAAUGAAUUCUUCUCCCCCCACCUUGAACUUGCUGCAUUUCCUAUCCUYGCUUAAUAAGCAGACAGCCGACAGCUGUUGGCAAAGCUUGAAAAUAGCCUAAGAGUGUAGCAUGUCACAAAGCACUCAGCUCCUCUUUUGGUAAGGAGUGCAGGAGCGGUUCCUUAGGUAGGUUAUCUAUAGGCCAGCGUCAGCCAAGUAACGUCGCCGCAUAUUGCAGCCAUAAAUAGCCCCAGCAGCCCGUUUCUCUGGGUGGUGGAAACGUUGGUUUUGCUCCAGUGUUAAAUGCUAACGGAGAAAACCAGCCUCUGCCAUGCAAAAGCGUAGAACUGCAUUAAUCUAUUCGAUCCCAAACGCUAGCUCUUGGAGGUCGUCUGUGCGGGUUUGAAUUGCUCUCUGGUUGUCUGCUAGUGUCUAAUGAGUGCAUAAGCAAACAGCGUUAACAGGAUGACCGUCCCGAGAGCAGCGUGUGCUAUCUCCGUGAUCUGGAAGUCKUGAAAUAAUAGUUAUGUCCUUGAUUGGAAGCAGAAGUGCAAAGYUAAAAAUCUUUGGCUAUUUAAUCCCCCGGCAAUGAUUGUUUGCGGUUCAGAUUUUCAGGACUGAUUGCAGUCCAGUAUCAYCGAACACGCAUGAAUGUUUCUCCAGCAGAAAGUUUUGCCGCAGGGCCGACAUUUGGCGAGUAGCAAAGCCCCAGACGGUGCCACCUGCCUCUCUCCGAGCUGACCGUGGGGUGAACUCGCUCCUUGUUUCRUCUAGGGCAGGAUGAGAAGCGGUGUGAUUCCCCAACGCAGCAGCGGCGCUGGAGAGAAGUCUCUUGCGUCAGUGCAGCUACGCCAGGAGACCUGCGCUCCCGAYGGUGGGGUGACUUGCCUGUCCCCGUGCAAGACAGCUUUAUCCAUGUACUGGUGCUGUGGUCAGGAUGCUCCCUGUUUCCAGCAGUGCUGSACAGCAGAAGUCAACUUUGCUUGUCAGCCCAAACCAAACUGAAAAAUGUUUUCUUCACYGAGUGCUUUUUCCUCUAGCUCUUCCUACCUGUGCUUCUAUCUACAAACGCAUUCCAGCUAGAAGAUGCCUUUCGGUUGAGUUUCCUAAGGCAGCAAGACACGUGCAAAGCUUUCAGAUGCAGCCGUCCCUCCCUUCAACACACUGUGAACGCGUUGGCCGGUAUCAAGCAGAUUUAACAGAGCAGCAAGGGUCUAAAAAUCCUUAUCUUCUUGUAAGCCCUGUGAAAUUAGACAGCUGGGUACAGGGGAGAGACGUGGCUGACGCCCCUUCAGAAGGAGAAAGCUCCCAUGUAAGGGGUGACUCCACAARAUAUUGUUGAACCUGUUGGGAACCCACCUGGAGCUACGCAUCUCUAAGACGCCAAGCUUUUUGGCUGUGUGCUCGUUUGAGUUGAAUGUUUUCUUCUAUUUUUCCCCAGAGAGAGCCUGCCUGUUUUGCCACGGAUGUCGCCAGCCCUCUUGUGCACACAGUCUCGUUUCCUGCCUACUUUUCCCAUAGACGAGCGCUCGCUUGCCRGCAAGCUGCCAAAAGCCUUAGUGACUGCAUUUCGUAGGUGUUCUAGCUCUGGGUUCCUCAGACGGGCACAACGAGAGCCAGGCACGGUCAGACUGUGGACCCAGGGCUUCCCAGGUGCCCUGUUCCCCCRGGGGCGAUGGUAAAUCGGGUCCUGCUGAGGGAUGGGGAGAGGGCUGCGGAAGAGAGAGCUGCCAGGUAAACACGCAGACUGCGCUUUCCGCGGCACUGCUUGCUGCGCCUGUUAGGUGAGGCUGAAGUUACCAGCUUGAACGUGUUGAUUAAUGAGUUUGCUUUUCAAAUAACACUUAAACCUAGGUAACUUCUCCAUCCUGACAGUGCUGUUCUUUCGCGUGACUAAGACGGCUGUUUGCAGGCAUGGCGCUAGGACUCUCCCUCUGGGUAAAAGCUCCUUUUUUUUUUUCCUUUUGGCAUUUUAAGAACCUUUCUUAAUGUUUUGAAUUGAAGUACUAUCUUAUGGCCAGAAGUGCCUGGAAACUGUGAAUUCUGAAAUCUUAUGUUCCACAGACAGUACUGUCAUUUGGACUUUUGACCUGUGUGGCUAAUUGUAUGGCAUCUUGAUUGCAAAUGCCAAACACGCAGGCACGCUGUGUGCAGCCAAAGCAUGCAGCGGUCCAGAGAGGAGCUGGAGAGCGUCCCGCGUCCUUGACCUGUGAUUUCUUGAUAGGCAGAGCUCAGUAAGUAUAGCUUUCAGUGACCACAUACACACGGUAAUCAGUUUACUUCUGAGUUGAUACUAAAAUACUUUGAAUCUGUUUUAUGUGUGCUUAACUCAAGGUGUGAUCCUAAACUAGAGUGUAGAGCUCUUUAUAUAUGAAACUCAGAAUAGCACAGUGGAAUUGGAAGAUGCACAAUCCUUGCAAAACCAGCACAACAGAGAUGCUGUGACCUCCCUUUGAGUGAGAAAUCCCAAGUACCAGCAGCAGGCAGGUGACCGAGAAAUCUGUUUGUGUAAACAAAUGCUUUCUUAUAACCAAGGAAGCUGCCCAUGCCAUUUGGCAAGCAGCACUUCAAGGCUCUGAGUGAGAAAUGUUUGUAUUUUGUUCCUAAAAUAUAUGUGGAGUGCAAUGCAGCCUCGAUGUGUAAUGGGACAGGAGGCUGACGUGGGGCUAAGGCUUUCCCUGAAAACAUCUCUGUAUAUAUAAAUAUUUUUAAUUAUGUGUUACUUGGCGACAUUUGAUCCAUCCCAAAAGCAAAGGGCUUGCUUGAGGAAAAUAUUUUGAGUUCUGAGGAUGUAAUUUAUGGUGAUUACUUAACAAUAUCCUGAGAAUAGGGUGAGCUGCUUGUGUGAGAGAGCCAAUGCUUCCAUCAUCCCUUAGCUUUCAUAGGGGUAUUCCAAGAGUGGGUCCUCAAAAACCUCCCAAAAGCAGCAUUGCUCCAGAAAAGAAGUGGCUGUGAUAACGCAGAGAAAGCUGAUGAGGAACAAUAAAUGCAACCAAAGUCUUUUUCA
rnacentral:lncRNA from 1 species